GCCUGCGUGGCGCAGGAGGUAGCGCAUUUGCAUGGUAAGCAAAAGGUCAGCAGUUCGAAUCUGCUCGUAGGCUCCA
rnacentral:tRNA from 1 species